rnacentral:lncRNA from 1 species
GGAUUGAUGGCUUCUGCUGUGGUCUCCUGGGGAAGGCCUUCCAGCCUGCAGCAUUUGUAACUCUGCUGUCACCAAGUGUUAUAGAGGUCACCCUGGAGAAGACUCUUGCUCAGGGACAGAUGGAGCCUCACUGAGCCUCACUCAUUGGGAUGAGCCAGGACCCUGGUCAGUGGGCACAGUUACAGGUGCCGAGGAGUCUUAGAACUGUCCAAGCAGAACAGAGCUAAAAGGGACCCUGUAGUUUGGUUAUUCUGGUAACUUCUCUUUAUGGCUGAAUAAAGAUCAAAAUGGGUAA